rnacentral:ribozyme from 1 species
UGCCCAGCAACUCCUAUCCCUACCUCCUCGCGGUACUGGCCGGGGUACGAGUAACCUUAGGGAAGAUCGGGUAACCAACCCCCGGUGGGAACUUUGGUCGUAUGCUGACAGGGAAAG